CUAUGACGCAGUCAAAUGAAGCGGGAGACAAACUUGCCUGAGACUGAGAGAAAUAACCUCAAUUUGUGUGCUAUUGUGUGCGUCUAUGACUGAUUUACCACACAUCUACCCACAAAUUCUCAACCUGCCACUUAUGUAAAUCUUCAGUGUUCAAUAAACCCCUUUGAUUUAA